ACCCGCUGAAUUUAAGCAUAUCACUAAGCGGAGGAAAAGAAACUAACCAGGAUUCCCCUAGUAACGGCGAGUGAAGAGGGAAUAGCCCAGCACCGAAGCCUGUGGCAGUUUUGCUGCAAGGCAAUGUGGUGUUUAGGUCGAUUUAUGGACAUGCCACUCCAUUCGAAGUCCAGCACUGAGUAUGGUUCCAAUGGACUUGGCCCAGAGAGGGUGAAAGGCCCGUGCGGAUGGAGGUAUCAGGUAUGAUGGUGUGUCCCCGAGUUGACCUUGGAGUCGGGUUGUUUGAGAUUGCAGCCCAAAGCGGGUGGUAAACUCCAUCCAAGGCUAAAUACUAGCACGAGUCCGAUAGCGAACAAGUACCGUGAGGGAAAGUUGAAAAGUACUUUGAAGAGAGAGUAAACAGUACGUGAAACCGCCUAGAGGUAAACGGGUGGCGUCAAGCUGCAAGCCCGGAGGAUUCAAUUGGUCAGUGUUUGUGCUCGUGUGCUUGGGCACGCCAGUCAACUUGGAGGGUCGUCACCAGUAUUGGUGAACUGGUUGGUUUACGCCUGCCGGUAUUCUGUUGCAUGGUAUGUGGCAGAGGCUCACACCAAGUGUUGUAAUUGGACUGACUGGCCGAUGCACUUCCUCCGUGGUGGACACCACGACCGGCGGAACUGUCAGUCUGCCUUGACCAGACAGGUUGUUGCGUAGCUGUGUAAAUGGUUGCGUGCUCCUGUUAUUCACGGGCAUUCGGUGUGGAGUGUGGUGGGUGUUAAAGCCUGCUUCUGCUCUCACUGGGUGCAAGCAGGCCUGCUUGCCCUUCUCCGGAGGGGUGGCUUGUCUGGUGGGUCUUGGUGGUAUGUAUAACUGUACAGGGCGCCGGAGUUGACGGUCACAUUGCUCUGCGGGGCGUACGGUGCGUAUGGUCAUGUGGUUAGCUGUUGAUCGUCGUGUCGCUUGUGCAAACAAGCCCGAUGGUGGUUGACUCUUGUGCCGUGCGUAGUGUAUGUGCGCUGGUGGAGUGUUAUGAAGGACCUAUAGUCUGUGGUGCUGUGGUAGACCAGCCACCUGACCCGUCUUGAAACACGGACCAAGGAGUUUAACAUGCGCGCGAGUCAUUGGGCUCUACGAAACCCAAAGGCGUAGUGAAAGUGAACGACCCUCCGGGGUCACGGUGAGAUCCCGUUGUGUGUUUGCUCCUCGUGCAUUGGCGGUACCAAGCAUGGAGCAGCGGGCGCAUCACCGGCCCGUCCCAUAAUGUGUCUGCUCGGUUGAAGGUGGGCAGUAUAGCGUCCGGGUUGUUGUGUGUAUGAUUGGUUGGCUAAGUGGAUCGACGCUUCGGUGUGGGUCCGUCUUGGUUGGCCGGUUGUGCGCCGGGUCCGGGAGUGCGACUGUUCUACGGGCAUGUCAUUGGGGCGGAGCAUGAGCGUGCACGUUGAGACCCGAAAGAUGGUGAACUAUGCUUGCGCAGGUUGAAGCCAGAGGAAACUCUGGUGGAGGACCGCAGCGAUUCUGACGUGCAAAUCGAUCGUCAAACGUGAGUAUAGGGGCGAAAGACUAAUCGAACCAUCUAGUAGCUGGUUCCCUCCGAAGUUUCCCUCAGGAUAGC
rnacentral:rRNA from 1 species